CGGGGCGUAGCGCAGUUGGUAGCGCACCUGCUUUGGGAGCAGGGGGUCCCCAGUUCGAAUCUGGGCGCCCCGA
rnacentral:tRNA from 1 species